CAGCAGCCGCGGGAAUACGUAGGUGGCAAGCGUUGUCCGGAAUUAUUGGGUGUAAAGGGCUCGCAGGCGGUCUCUUAAGUCUGAUGUGAAAGCCCCCGGCUCAACCGGGGAGGGUCAUUGGAAACUGGGAAACUUGAGUGCAGAAGAGGAGAGUGGAAUUCCACGUGUAGCGGUGAAAUGCGUAGAGAUGUGGAGGAACACCAGUGGCGAAGGCGACUCUCUGGUCUGUAACUGACGCUGAGGAGCGAAAGCGUGGGGAGCGAACAGGAUUAGAUACCCCGGUAGUCCCUGUCUCUUAUAC
rnacentral:rRNA from 1 species